rnacentral:rRNA from 1 species
CUCAGGAUGAACGCUAGCGGCAGGCCGUAACACAUGCAAGUCGAACGGUAACAUGAGUAGCAAUACUUGAUGACGAGUGGCGCACGGGUGCGUAACGCGUAUGCAACUUACCUCUAACUGGAGAAUAGCCUUCCGAAAGGAAGAAUAAUACUCCAUAAUAUUACGAUGUGGCAUCACAUUGUUCUUAAAGCUUCGGCGGUUAGAGAUGGGCAUGCGUCUGAUUAGCUUGUUGGUGAGGUAACGGCUCACCAAGGCAACGAUCAGUAGGGGGCCUGAGAGGGUUAUCCCCCACACUGGUACUGAGACACGGACCAGACUCCUACGGGAAGCAGCAGUGAGGAAUAUUGGUCAAUGGACGAAAGUCUGAACCAGCCAUGCCGCGUGCAGGAUGAAUGCCCUAUGGGUUGUAAACUGCUUUUAUAUAGGAAUAAACCCCUUUACGUGUAAAGGGCUGAAGGUACUAUAAGAAUAAGGACCGGCUAACUCCGUG